UACGUAGGGUGCAAGCGUUGUCCGGAAUUAUUGGGCGUAAAGCGCGUGUAGGCGGCUCGAUAAGUCUGCUGUGAAAGUCCAGGGCUCAACCCUGGGAUGCCGGUGGAUACUGUCGAGCUCGAGUCCGGAAGAGGCGAGUGGAAUUCCUGGUGUAGCGGUGAAAUGCGCAGAUAUCGGGAGGAACACCGGUGGCGAAGGCGGUUCUACUGGGCCUGUACUGACGCUGAGGAGCGAAAGCGUGGGGAGCGAACAGG
rnacentral:rRNA from 1 species